ACUCCUACGGGAGGCAGCAGUGAGGAAUAUUGGUCAAUGGGAGGAAUCCUGAACCAGCCAUGCCGCGUGCAGGACGACGGCUCUACGAGUUGUAAACUGCUUUUGUACCGGGGUAAAAUGCCUUACGAGUAGGGUUUUGAAAGUACGGUACGAAUAAGGAUCGGCUAACUCCGUGCCAGCAGCCGCGGUAAUACGGAGGAUGCGAGCGCUAUCCGGAUUUAUUGGGUUUAAAGGGUGCGUAGGCGGAACAUUAAGUCAGCGGUAAAAUCGAGGGGCUCAACCCCUUUAAGCCGUUGAAACUGGUG
rnacentral:rRNA from 1 species